GUGUGAUUUGGUGCUGUAUCAGUAAAACUGUCCUAAAUUAAAUGUUUUUCAUUCAGAGAGAUGUAAUAAAGCAUCAUCCAGAUGUUUUGUGUCUGCUGCUGAAGAGGUUUGAGUUCAACUAUAAUUACAUGUCAUACAUCAAAAUCAACUGUGAUGUGGAUGUUCCCUACACUCUGCAGAUACCAGAGAGUGAGAAAUAUGAACUAUAUGCGUUUCUGGAUCAUUUUGGGGAUUUGAGAGGAGGACAUUACUCCGUCACAAUCAAGAUCCAGGAGGAACACAGAGACAAAUGGUAUCAGUUUGAUGGUACCAGAGUCACAGAGCUUGAUUUUCAGCCAUUCCAGCUGGAUAACACUGAGAGGUCCCAGACUGCAUAUCUUCUGUUUUAUAGCAAAAAGAAAGAUACUGGUAUUCCAGAGUCCACAGAUGUGUCCACCAGUGGACCACCCACCAUCAGUAAUGAAUAUGAUCAGAGUCAAGAUGAGAAAAAUAAGAGCAAUAAAAAGAGAAAAGGGGAGAAGACAGACACCGCGGAUAAUCCAAAGACUGCUCGCUUAAGAGAAGCAGAGGGAUCACCUGAAACCCCCUGUAACGUAGAUCCUCUGGACAACGAACCAAAUAAAGACAAUGGAACCACUGGAAGUGAUGACCUGGAUCAAAAACGUACAGAAGUGGAUGAUGCUGAAAAAAACAGAUCAGAUAAUAAUCCUGAUUUUAAACUUGAUAUCAGUGAUCGAUCAGCAGUCUGUGAUGAUCCAAGCAGACAGUAUGAGAUGAGUAAAUUAAUGGAUGAUAAAGCAGAUAACGAUGAAAAGGCUAAAGAUAAACAGUCAGAGAAAAAAAGCCACGCAGAGCAUCCAGCUGACACUGUGGGAGAGAACAUAUGUGAACAUCAGGAGAAUAAACAAAUCUGUAGUCCUUCUCAUGCUGAGGAGAAAACAAAAACAGAUUUUCAACAUGACUCGAAAGGAAAGAUUAGUGCCGAUAAACCAACAGCAGAGAUGUGCUGUGACACAUUUCAGGAUAAAGAAAAAGCUGAUGAUAGAAAAGAAAACAUACUACAAGAUGAUCAGAGUCUUAAACACAGAAACAGACACAGUGAUACACUGAACAUGCAGGAGAUCAGUGUUACACAUUCAAGAGAUAAUGUUUUUUGUGUAGAGAGAGAAAUCAGAAACGUGAAGGAGGACAGGAGAGAAAGGAAAGGAAAUGAAAAAGGUGACCACAGUAAGUUUGAACAAAACACAGUAGGGGAGGUAAGUGGUGCUGCUACAACACAGAAAGAUGUUGAUGUGGAGGAAAAGAAAGAAUAUGAAGGAAAUACUAAACAAAUUCAGAUCAGAGAGAAACCCCAUCUGAGACCAGCAGGAGCAGAAAUAAUAGAAGCAUCCAAAGAAAAACAGGAUGAUCCUACUAAUGAAAAAACUAAAGCAGAGCGUUUUCAACUAAAAGGCAGAGCCAAAAUUCAGGGAGUCACAGAAGGAGGACAUGGUUCACAGAAGUCAGGAAAAGUUAUAACAAAUACUAACAAACAAAUAACUUGUGAAGAAAAUAGGCAGAAUUCUCAUGGUGAAUGUUUUGGGACAAAGAUGAAGAACAUGGGAAUAGAAAGUGUAGGGAAACCCUCACAGGGCAGCUCUGCUAGACAUAUCAAAUAUAACGAAGGACACACUGAAAAUAAAUCUCAAACAAAAAGUGCAGCCAAGCCCAGAGAAGAAGAAAAACAACAUGGCACAAACCAUACAAAAUACACCAAAAUUCCACAAGAGGAUCUAGAAAUAGAAGCUGCUAAAUCAAGUGCAGACAAUGAGACAGUUGGGUGGUGUUCAUGGUUUGUCGCUUUGGCACAGCGUUGUUUUUCUUGCUCCUCUCCUGCAGGGAGAGACACACCUGAGCUGAUUAGGUCUCCUAUAUAAAGGAUGUGCCGGGACCUGAGGUGGGGUUUUGUGAGUGGCUGACAGCUGAAAAGCUAAGACUGAGAGUUGUAAGAAGCAACAACCAAAUAAAAAGUGUUGCAAAGUAUGAAAUGUGUCGUUGGACCCGUCAUUCUGCAUUGAUGAAGAAAAAAAAAAAGCAAGACCGGU
rnacentral:lncRNA from 1 species